UUAUUUUAUUAUUUCUCCCCCUCAUAGGAUAAAUGAAGAUGCUGACAUGCCAAAACAAACCCAAUUAUGCACACGCCUUUAAGUCUUGUGAACCUCAGAUUUGUACAAGAUGUGCAAUGCAGGCCUCCAGAACAAAUACAUUACAAAUCUCUAACGGCUGAUGAAUACAGAUUGUUCCCAAAUAUCCCAGUUCAGAUGUUGUGGUUUCUCAAGUUGAUCCUUCCUAACUGAAAAUAAGGAUUUAAACUUUGACCUUUAAUCUGAUCAAAGCUACACAGAGGAAAUAAGAAAUGCGGUGUGAUGUAAACGUCAACAAAUGUUGUACAUUGUGCAGUGUGGACUAGGUGUAGUCAAAUCCUCCCAAGGCUUGAGCUCCUCGUGCAAAUCUGGAACCUUUUCUGUAUUAUGGUACAAAGAAUGAACAAACAAGUUUACCUGAAUUUCAGAGACCUUCCAAGGGGCAUGGCAUUUGUAAAACUAUUUUCAG